rfam:Beta vulgaris subsp. vulgaris chromosome 8, whole genome shotgun sequence.
AGGCUAUUAGCUCAAAUGGAAGAGCAAUGUAUAAUAUACAUGGUGUGGGUUCAAAUCCCACAUAGCCUA